rnacentral:rRNA from 1 species
CAGCAGUAGGGAAUUUUGCGCAAUGGGGGAAACCCUGACGCAGCAACGCCGCGUGAUUGAUGAAGCCCUUCGGGGUGUAAAGAUCUGUCAGUGGGGACGAAACUUGACGGUACCCACAGAGGAAGCAUCGGCUAACUCCGUGCCAGCAGCCGCGGUAAUACGGGGGAUGCAAGCGUUGUCCGGAAUCAUUGGGCGUAAAGAGUUCGUAGGUGGCACGUUAAGUCUGGUGUUAAAUGCAGAGGCUCAACCUCUGUUCGGCACUGGAUACUGGCGAGCUUGAAUGCGGUAGAGGUAAAGGGAAUUCCUGGUGUAGCGGUGAAAUGCGUAGAUAUCAGGAGGAACAUCGGUGGCGUAAGCGCUUUACUGGGCCGUAAUUGACACUGAGGAACGAAAGCCAGGGUAGCAAAUGGGAUUAGA